rnacentral:rRNA from 1 species
AGUGAACGCUGGCGGUAGGCCUAACACAUGCAAGUCGAACGGCAGCACAGGAGAGCUUGCUCUCUGGGUGGCGAGUGGCGGACGGGUGAGGAAUACAUCGGAAUCUACUCUGUCGUGGGGGAUAGCGUAGGGAAACGUACGCUAAUACCGCCUACGACCUACGGGUGAAAGCAGGGGACCUUCGGGCCUUGCGCGAUUGAAUGAGCCGAGGUCGGGUUAGCUAGUUGGCGGGGUAAAGGCCAACCAAGGCGACGAUCCGUAGCUGGUCUGAGAGGAUGAUCAGCCACACUGGAACUGAGACACGGCACAGAGUCCUACGGGAGGCAGCAGUGGGGAAUAUUGGACAAUGGGCGCAAGCCUGAUCCAGCCAUACCGCGUGGGUGAAGAAGGCCUUCGGGUUGUAAAGCCCUUUUGUUGGGAAAGAAAUCCAGCUGGCUAAUACCCGGUUGGGAUGACGGUACCCAAAGAAUAAGCACCGGCUAACUUCGUGCCAGCCGCCGCAGUAA